rnacentral:rRNA from 1 species
AGGACGAACGCUGGCGGCGUGCUUAACACAUGCAAGUCGAACGGGGUCCAACCAGUCGCAAGACUGGGGAAGACUUAGUGGCGAACGGGUGAGUAACACGUGAGCAACCUGCCCCGAAGACCGGGAUAACAGCGGGAAACCGCUGCUAAUACCGGAUGCCCCCACCGGGCCGCAUGACCUGGUGAGGAAAUGGAUUCCGCUUCGGGAGGGACUCGCGGCCUAUCAGCUUGUUGGUGGGGUAAUGGCCUACCAAGGCGUCGACGGGUAGCUGGUCUGAGAGGACGAUCAGCCACACUGGGACUGAGACACGGCCCAGACUCCUACGGGAGGCAGCAGUGGGGAAUCUUGCGCAAUGGGCGAAAGCCUGACGCAGCAACGCCGCGUGAGGGACGAAGGCCUUCGGGUUGUAAACCGUCUUUCAGCAGGGACGAUUGUGACGGUACCUGCAGAAGAAGCCCGGCAACUACGUGCCAGCAGCCGC